AAGGUGGUAGUUUCAAGCCUCAUUGGCAGUUAUCUCUAUUAUUUUCUACAAAUACUCCCAAUUACACAAUCAAUUCACUAUUUUUUUUCCAAAAUAUAAUUACCCUCAUUCAUUCUACUAAAUUUCUCCCCAUUUCCAAAAUCUGUAGCCUCAUUCUACCAUUUUUUCAUCAUCAAUUAAAGCUUCAACAAUUUCAUGAUAGAGGGCUAAGAUUCUUAAGGUAAGUGGACUUAGGCUAAUCCAUUUUAUGAGAAUUUGUCUUCUUUAAUUUUCAUUUUCAUGUAAUUAGGGUUUGAAUGUUUUGAUGUAAAUUUUUGUUGAAAUCCACAAUUUUGUAUCAAAAAUUAAACCCUUGCAUCUAUUGUUAUAAUUCUAGUCAAUUUCUUUCUUGAUUUUAGAUUUAGAUUCAAUAUUUGUAUACAAAAUACUUACGUAUCACAAUCAAUGCAAGAUUAAUUGGAUUACUUUUCUUUAUACAAAAAAUUUACUUGAUUCUUGAUUGUUUCUCACCAAUUCAUGAAAUUGAAUGUUGCUUGAUGAAUUCUUCUCGCAAAUUUCUUGGAAACAAGUUGCAUUUUUUUGCCACAAUUAAUUCCCUGAUUCCAAAGUUAUGAAUGAACCUGUAAUUUUCUUUGGAGAACAAGUUAGAGCUUUAAUUAAUAUCGUAAGAAUUAAACUAACUCCUAUGGAAAUCAUCUCUUUUCUUGAACUUUGAUCAAGAUCAAGCAAGUUGAUCUUGUGAAGAAUCUUGAAUCAAAGAACCCCUCUUAAUUAAGCAUAAUUCAUUUCUUAAUCAUCUUUGAUUCAGUGAUAAGAAUAGAUUAAUAACCUAAGCACAUUCCUCACUUUUCUUAUUGAAUUUCAAUCUUUAGUUCCUUUUUCUCGUGAAUUGAGUUGCAAUUUAAAUUUCUCCGUAAUACUUGGUUUCUCUUAAUUUUCCCCAAAUUUUUUUCAAUGCUUUUCUUUUCUUUUUUAUUACUAAUCUCAAUUGUUUUAAGCUUUUAUUCAAGAAAAUAUCUUAGCAUACUGUCACGUGGUUAUUUUGAUCACAAAACCAAUGUGCGGCACAAAGGUAUUGGGGUUGCACCAAUGUAAGCCUAAGAGUAAUUGGACUUGUUGGAACAAACUAAGGAAGAAGGAAAUCCGUAGGUAAGAAGUAGGCAAAGAGUUGUAGACAAGGUGUUUGAUAAAAUGCUUAAGACAGCUUUGUUGAUGAAUUCCCAAGGAUUAUGUGUUGUUUUUACAAAUGGACCCCUUUGGGGUAUUUAUAGAAGUAUACAACCUAUUUACAAGCCCUAAACCACCUUACAAGGUCGGCAAAAGCAAUCUGGAAAAUUCCCGAGCGCUCAUGACACUGUCCAGAAGCUUCUGGAGGCGUCUGGGGCCGUCUGGCGCGCGCUGGCCUUCAGGAGGCUUCCGCGCGCGCGCGUGUUCGCGAGCCUUCCCGGCCGCUCGCGAUUCUUCUGGAAACUUCUAGAGGUUCCCGGAUGCUUCUCCGCGCGCUUCGUGCGCUCCGUGUCCGCUUCCCGCGCGCGCUAGUGUAGCGCGCGCGUCCGACUGGCCUUGCGCGCAUUCAUGCCGCGCGCGCCCAUCUGCCGUGCGCGUUCGCUUGUCUGCCUGCCGCCCUUGCGUGCGCGCGCGCCCAUGUCAUGACAGGGUCGCGCGCGCCAAUCUCCUGCACAUUGGCGUGUCAUAGGCUUGGCGUGAACUUGUUCCUCUUCCUUGGGUCUUUGGACUGCUUGGGACUUGGUUGGCUCUUCUUGGGCAAUGCUAAGGAGCCUUAAUUUGCGAAAAAUCUGUUGGGUCAUUUUUGGGGCGUGACAAUACGCUCUCUCGAGUUCGACAUUCGUACUUACACCUAUCUACGGUAAGAGUAAAGGGUAAACUACAAAUAUUUUAUCAAAGCAAAGCUAGGUAAGCACCCCUUGACAAUAAUUUUCACUUUCGAACUAUAAGGAUUUAUGUCUUAAAACUCGUAGAUUGUAAAUAUAAUUCAUUAAUCGUUUCUAAUAAUGUGUUGUCAUUGUAAUGAUUGUUAUUGAUUAUAUUAUUAGUUUUGUCUUAAUAACUCAAAUCCAAUAAACUAUCAUUCUAAGUUGUUUAAUGAAUCUUGAAUAGUAUGAGGAGACAUACAGGAAUCAAUGUUUGAGAUAUCAGCUUAAAGGGUUUAUAGUAUAGGGAUAAGGUUAGGUACCUUAUCUAGUAACACUAUGGAUAUGACUCACUUUGUAUUUGAUACAAACGCAAUGAUCUAACGCGUUAGUGUAGGUGACAUGCGAGUAAGGGUAUCCUAUACAAUGAGUUUGCAUAAGAUCAGACCGAAUAACCACUAGAUGUAACUCCGUUAACUAGUUAGAUUUCUAUUUCAUUAGGAUGACCUAUGUAACUUAGUUUUUUAAUCAUGGGUGUAUCAUGAACUCAUGUUCUCGAGAAAUUAUCUUUUGAUUUGUAUAAGUGAGAGUGGUCAGAUCGUCGACUCAAUAAGCUUAUCAUUUUGGAGACAAGAAAGAGUAGGGACUUGGGAACAUAAUUAACAUUUCUGAGAAGUUUCACAGUUUCAUCUUUUAAUUUCAUAGUGACUAAUCCAAUUCUAGCAAUGUUAGAAGUCUCAUUGUUCCCCAUGAAAACUGAUUGUCCAUAUAUUUCUUUAUAUGUGUUGAUUGAAAGGUGUCAUAUGGUAGGUGCAACCAGAGUCUAAAACACAUUCAUGUUUACCAAAGAAGGUAACAUGAUUGACUUGGUCUUGGGUUGAUGCCAAGGCAUCAGUUUAGAUACAAUUGCUUUAUACUACAGACACUUUUGGUUGUUUUUCUUUUGAAUCUCUCUUUCAAUUGUAUUUUUUUUUAAGAAAAAACAAUCUUGAAUUAGAUGCCCCUAAUUUUGCAUCAUUUAAAAGAGACUUGAUGAUGUUUUUCCACUGAUUAGUUUGAGGUUUGCUUUUUGCAAAUAAACCAUCUCCACCGUGUUGGUCCUUUUGCGAUGACUAUAUUUCUAAUUAUAUUGUUCUAAGAUUUGAUGAUAAGCAAAUAAUUGGUAUUGAUUAACUGAAGCAUAGAACAAGUAACGUUCAAGCUAAAUUUGCAGCAUUUAAUGACCAGUUGAAACUUCAAGAGUCACUUAGACACCCAAGCUAGAUUGAACUUUUUUUUCAUGACUUUCGUAAAAAUACUGCAAAAUUUGCAUAAGUUUGAGAUUUAGAAAUCUUAUGCAAUGUUUCACAAAAGAAGGAAUUGUUGUGCUGCAGAAAAAAAAAAAAACAAUGAUAAAUUUUGUUGAGUUACGUAAAUCUAUUAAUUACAUAAGUCAAUUAAUUGAAUGAAAAUUUGAAGUUGCAAGAGAGCAGACAAGGAAGAACCAAAUCACAUAAUCUAUUACAAGUCAAGUAGAUUGUCCAAUUUUUGAAGAUGACCAACCAAAUGAAGAUGAGAGAAAUUACCUCUCAGCCAAAAAGGAAGGUUUCAAUGAAGACGUCUUUGAGAUAAAUGAGGGUGAUCAUCAAAGUUUGAGAGAAGAAUUAAAGUACAAAUUACUUGUGGAGAACGACAAGAUAUCUGAGAUUGGAGUCAUGACAAAGACUCUAGAAAAGUGUGAUGAGAAAGAAGAGACUCAAAACAUAAAGAAACGUGAAACAUUGUUGAUAAAAGAAAAGAAAGUUGGUUUUAUUAAGAAGGGAAGUGAAAGAAAAUAUAAAUAUCGUGAGAGCAAGCAUACUUUGUACUCUAAUAUUUUGUGUUGUUAUUAUUCUCUUGAUCUCCAUGGUUUAGAGGAGACCUUCAAAAAUGAGUUGAAUGUAACACACAUGAAGUUAAUAUUCUAUACAAAAGAAGUGGAUAUCAUUUGACUAUCAAAGCAAUCUCGAGAUGAUGACUACAAAAUGGCUUUAUAAGAAAAAUCUUAAGAUUCAAGAACGAAUCUUCUCUAAGAAGGGGAAGAUGACAAGCAAAUAGUUGGUAUUUAUUAGCUAAAGCAUAGAACGAGUAAAGUUCAAGUUAAAUUUUCAUUCUUUAAUGACGAGUUGGAACUUCAAUAGUCAUUUGGACACCCAAGGGUCAUAAUGAAUCUAGAAAUUCAUAUUCAUUCACAUCUUUAAUGAAUAGAUUCAUUCAUAUCUUUAAUAUGAACUUAUUUAAAUGAUAUGUACUUUUAUAGGGUAGUUGAAAGG
rnacentral:lncRNA from 1 species